rnacentral:lncRNA from 1 species
GUCCAAUUGAUACGUGAGUGACCUAAAUUAACAAUGGCUUACUUCUCUCUCAUUACAAUAGAGUGUGAUAUGACAGCUUCACCUACAACCCAACCAUCUUGUUGCUUUGUUUUCCUAGGGUGUUUCCUUUGGUCACAUAAUUAAAGGUGGCUAAUACAAUUUAGCAAGUGGGGAAAUAAAUGUGAUAUGAGGAGCACACUCUUGCCUUUGAAGGGAGGACCUGUGUGUUGAACAUUUCACUUGUGAUUGCUUAUUAUCCAGAAGUUACUAGAAGACUGGGAAAUAAUCUAUCUUGGUCGUAUGUUCUCUGGGCUGUAAGAAACUGAGAUCAAAUAUUGGGAACAACCAAUGGCCUCUGGAAUAUUCUGAGCUCAGUAAAAUCAAGUGUUGAAUUUAGGCUAAGGUGUCUGGUAAGUUCUGAUCUCUGUAAUAAGGCUUGUUUCCACUCUUUUAUAUUAAAAAAAAUCAUAGUAUGCACAGAACUUGAAAAUAAAACUAUAUAGGAAAAAAUCUUUGUGAUUUUAAAUAAACUGGAGAGAAUAUAGAAAUAUAGUGCUUUGUGCUCAUUUAUUCACUAGAAUUAAGGAAUUCCAUUCCUUCUUCCAGUUUUAGUGAAAUUAAGCUCUUUCAGGCUUACUUUUACUUACAAUGCUAACUAGUGACAUUCUAUAACCUGGGCAUAAAGAUAUACAUCAUCAUGGUGAACAAAAAGAGACCAAGGUAGAGAUAGUUGAAGAUGUUCUUCCACCCUACAGGAAUAGCAAAAAGAUAUGACUGUUUCCUAGAACUAGCAAAGAAUGUGAUUUGAUGAAGUAUUAAAUUAAGAACAUUCAUAAUGAUGUUGAUCUUGUUUUCCUGUGCAAUACUAAAUGUCUGAAUAUUCAUAAUCCUGCCACUUGUUCUCUGUUCUUAGAGGUAUAAUUUGAACAAAGGGAUUUUGUAAAGCUCUUAAGACUUUUGAAAUUGUGAUUACACAUUGCAAAGAUAACCUUUAAAGAGAAUCCUGUAAUUCUAACUGGUUGUCUUCCUUGAGACUUUGUUGCCUUGGUAAUAAUGCUGCAAUUUACAUGUCUGAAUUGCUAAACAAUCUUAAGACUUGUAAAUUUGCUCUGUCAAGUCAGAAGAGAAUCAGUGACACACUUCUCUAUCCCCACAUGUAUAAUGAAGAGAAACAAAUUUUAACAAAUAUUUAAC